rnacentral:lncRNA from 1 species
ACCAAAUACCCAACCCCCGAUCCCAAUCAACCACUAAUACUUGACCACAAAUCAACCAAAUAGACUACAAACACUCUUCAUCCCAUCCCGUCGUCACCAUUGCCUCCAUUACCGCCACAACUCCAACAAAAACCACCGGACACUAAAACAUGAAAAACCAACAAAUCCAACAAAAGCCACCACCACGGCAAUACUACAAACCAAGCAGACACACUACCGUGGUCAUAGAUCACACGCAGCACCGUCGUUCACAAGAUCCCGCUGAGCUGUAGCGAGCGGAUGAACAUCAAAUCUCGGAACCAGCCCACCAACAGCACCACAAAAUCAGUUAAAAACCACCACAAAUCCAUCUUAAAAAUCACCACAAAAACCACCACAAACCGCUACUACUCCAACAACGAGAGCUCCACUUCAAUGAAGAAAAAAAGAUAGUGGAGAGAUAUAUCUCCGCUAUUGCCAAAGCAAUGGUUGCAUUGGUGCUCACAGAGGCGCCUGAAAGGCUCCUUCACACGAUAUUAAAUCCAAGAAACAAGAAAAACCUUAAUCGAAUAGAAAUAAAAAUUGCAGAAAAAUUGAAAAUGAACAGAAAGGAAUUAUUUCGGCCUAAGCCCCGAAAAUUCGAUGACCGCUUCUAACGCCUACAUCCCCCGUUGAGCAUCCAAAGAUUUGGAUUACGUUCGGUUGCAAUAAACAACCAAAAUGGCAACAAAAAUUACAUAUUAUUCAGAGAGAUGAAAAUGAGACUUAUCUCUCAAGAAUAGUGAUGGAUCUACAGAGAUUCACUAAGAUCUCAGCCCUCAAACCCUUUGAACAUCACCACGAAGUUACAAUAGAGAAAUCACUCAGAUUUCUUCACUAUCCACAUAGAAUAUUACAAAUCGAAGGAAGACCUCAAUACACUAUACAAAAAAUCAAAGAUUUUAAGCAUGAAACACUACAGAAAAGAUCAUCUCUCUCAAAUCGCCCUUUUUCUCCUCCAAAAAUGCUAGAGACAUAAUGAACCAAGAGAAUGAAAAAGUCAGUCAUUGCAAAAGACUCUAGCCUUUUAAAGAAGGCAGAUGAACUGGCACAAGGAGUCCAAAGAAUAUCUUCCAUCCAACGUCCAGAAUUUAUCCACGUGUUAGUCAUCCAAUUAAGUUACCACCACUUAUUAAGUCGCACUUCACAUAAACACGAUUUACCAAGAUUCAAAUUCUAGAAGCACCAAAUGUACAGAACAGGGUUCGUCUCCAACAGUGCCACUCCAAUGAAGAUAGAAAGACCACCACAAAACACCCAUUAACACCACCUUAAAACCGCCAAGAAACACUGACAACAACACCACAAAAUCGUUACAAAAAUCACCACAAACCACCAUAGAACAACACAAAAUUGCUGAAGCAGCAACAUGCCAGUCGUGGCUCAAUUCAUUGUUGCAUAUCACGGCUCAGAUUUCGAUCUGAGCGUCGUGACUUAGAUUUCGAUCUGGGCUUCGCAGAGACGCCGUUCUGAUGAAGAAAGAAAAGAAAAAUAAAUGGAGAAAAUGAGGUGGAGGAGGAAAAAGCUACCUUGGUGAAGAUGAAAAUAGGUUUGGUGUGAAUUGGGAUACGGUGUGGUGGGUUGAGGUUGGGGUUGACGUUUGGAUAAAUCAAUACCUGAUUUAUGAUUAAUCAAAUGUUGAAC